AUUAUUUUCAAGUACUUAAGUACAACUUAAUUAUUUUAGUUCACAAGUAAACAAAUUACUGACACAUUAUCAAUCUGGUGUAUUUAAUUUCCACCGUGAACUAUG
rnacentral:lncRNA from 1 species